rnacentral:rRNA from 1 species
UACGUAGGGCGCAAGCGUUGUCCGGAAUUACUGGGCGUAAAGGGCUCGUAGGUGGCCAACUAAGUCAGACGUGAAAUCCCUCGGCUUAACCGGGGAACUGCGUCUGAUACUGGAUGGCUUGAGUUUGGGAGAGGGACGCGGAAUUCCAGGUGUAGCGGUGAAAUGCGCAGAUAUCAGGAGGAACACCGGUGGCGAAGGCGGGUCUCUGGGCCGAUACUGACGCUGAGGAGCGAAAGCGUGGGGAGCAAACAGG